rnacentral:rRNA from 1 species
UGCAGUCGAACGAUGAAGGAGGAGCUUGCUCCUCCGGAUUAGUGGCGAACGGGUGAGUAAUACGUGAGCAAUGUGCCCUUGACUCUGGGAUAAGCGCUGGAAACGGCGUCUAAUACCGGAUACGACCCUCGGAGGCAUCUCCUGAUGGUGGAAAGAACUUCGGUCAAGGAUCAGCUCACGGCCUAUCAGCUAGUUGGUGAGGUAACGGCUCACCAAGGCGACGACGGGUAGCCGGCCUGAGAGGGUGACCGGCCACACUGGGACUGAGACACGGCCCAGACUCCUACGGGAGGCAGCAGUGGGGAAUAUUGCACAAUGGGCGCAAGCCUGAUGCAGCAACGCCGCGUGAGGGACGACGGCCUUCGGGUUGUAAACCUCUUUUAGCAGGGAAGAAGCGAAAGUGACGGUACCUGCAGAAAAAGCACCGGCUAACUACGUGCCAGCAGCCGCGGUAAUACGUAGGGUGCAAGCGUUGUCCGGAAUUAUUGGGCGUAAAGAGCUCGUAGGCGGUCUGUCACGUCUGCUGUGAAAACCCGAGGCUCAACCUCGGGCUUGCAGUGGGUACGGGCAGACUAGAGUGCGGUAGGGGAGAUUGGAAUUCCUGGUGUAGCGGUGGAAUGCGCAGAUAUCAGGAGGAACACCGAUGGCGAAGGCAGAUCUCUGGGCCGUAACUGACGCUGAGGAGCGAAAGCAUGGGGAGCAAACAGGCUUAGAUACCCUGGUAGUCCAUGCCGUAAACGUUGGGAACUAGAUGUGGGGACCAUUCCACGGUCUCCGUGUCGUAGCUAACGCAUUAAGUUCCCCGCCUGGG